UGCCAGCCGCCGCGGUAAUACGGAGGGUGCAAGCGUUGUUCGGAAUUAUUGGGCGUAAAGCGCGUGUAGGCGGCUUGGCAAGUCGAGUGUGAAAUCCCGGGGCUCAACCCCGGAACUGCACCCGAAACUGCCAGGCUAGAGUCCCGGAGGGGGUGGCGGAAUUUCCGGUGUAGAGGUGAAAUUCGUAGAUAUCGGAAGGAACACCAGUGGCGAAGGCGGCCACCUGGACGGUGACUGACGCUGAGACGCGAAAGCGUGGGGAGCAAACAGGAUUAGAUAC
rnacentral:rRNA from 1 species